GACCUCUAAUCGGAAAAGACUACCCGCCGAGUUCAA
rnacentral:rRNA from 1 species